rnacentral:rRNA from 1 species
UACGGGGGGGGCAAGCGUUGUUCGGAAUUACUGGGCGUAAAGGGCGCGUAGGCGGCCUUCUAAGUCAGACGUGAAAUCCCUCGGCUCAACCGAGGAACUGCGUCUGAUACUGGAAGGCUUGAAUCCGGGAGAGGGAUGUGGAAUUCCUGGUGUAGCGGUGAAAUGCGCAGAUAUCAGGAGGAACACCGGUGGCGAAGGCGGGUCUCUGGGCCGAUACUGACGCUGAGGAGCGAAAGCGUGGGGAGCGAACAGG